GAGCGUUCUGUAAGCCGUUGAAGGUGAAUCGUAAGGUUUGCUGGAGGUAUCAGAAGUGCGAAUGCUGACAUGAGUAACGACAAAGGGGGUGAAAAACCUCCUCGCCGGAAGACCAAGGGUUCCUGUCCAACGUUAAUCGGGGCAGGGUGAGUCGACCCCUAAGGUGAGGCCGAAAGGCGUAAUCGAUGGGAAACGGGUUAAUAUUCCCGUACUUCUGACUAUUGCGAUGGGGGGACGGAGAAGGCUAGGUGGGCCAGGCGACGGUUGUCCUGGUUCAAGUGCGUAGGCUUGAGAGUUAGGUAAAUCCGGCUCUCUCUAAGGCUGAGACACGACGUCGAGCUGCUACGGCAGUGAAGUCAUUGAUGCCAUGCUUCCAGGAAAAGCCUCUAAGCUUCAGAUAGUCAGGAAUCGUACCCCAAACCGACACAGGUGGUCGGGUAGAGAAUACCAAGGCGCUUGAGAGAACUCGGGUGAAGGAACUAGGCAAAAUGGUACCGUAACUUCGGGAGAAGGUACGCUCUUGAUGGUGAAGUCCCUCGCGGAUGGAGCUGACGAGAGUCGCAGAUACCAGGUGGCUGCAACUGUUUAUUAAAAACACAGCACUGUGCAAAAUCGCAAGAUGACGUAUACGGUGUGACGCCUGCCCGGUGCCGGAAGGUUAAUUGAUGGGGUUAGCGCAAGCGAAGCUCUUGAUCGAAGCCCCGGUAAACGGCGGCCGUAACUAUAACGGUCCUAAGGUAGCGAAAUUCCUUGUCGGGUAAGUUCCGACCUGCACGAAUGGCGUAAUGAUGGCCACGCUGUCUCCACCCGAGACUCAGUGAAAUUGAAAUCGCUGUGAAGAUGCAGUGUACCCGCGGCUAGACGGAAAGACCCCGUGAACCUUUACUACAGCUUGGCACUGAACAUUGAACCUACAUGUGUAGGAUAGGUGGGAGGCUAUGAAGACGUGACGCCAGUUGCGUUGGAGCCGUCCUUGAAAUACCACCCUUGUAUGU
rnacentral:rRNA from 1 species